rnacentral:rRNA from 1 species
AUUGAACGCUGGCGGCAGGCCUAACACAUGCAAGUCGAACGGUAGCACAGAGAGCUUGCUCUUGGGUGACGAGUGGCGGACGGGUGAGUAAUGUCUGGGAAACUGCCCGAUGGAGGGGGAUAACUACUGGAAACGGUAGCUAAUACCGCAUAACGUCUUCGGACCAAAGUGGGGGACCUUCGGGCCUCACACCAUCGGAUGUGCCCAGAUGGGAUUAGCUAGUAGGUGGGGUAACGGCUCACCUAGGCGACGAUCCCUAGCUGGUCUGAGAGGAUGACCAGCCACACUGGAACUGAGACACGGUCCAGACUCCUACGGGAGGCAGCAGUGGGGAAUAUUGCACAAUGGGCGCAAGCCUGAUGCAGCCAUGCCGCGUGUAUGAAGAAGGCCUUCGGGUUGUAAAGUACUUUCAGUGGGGAGGAAGGCGAUGGAGUUAAUAGCUUCGUCGAUUGACGUUACCCGCAGAAGAAGCACCGGCUAACUCCGUGCCAGCAGCCGCCGCCG